AAUGAACGCUGGCGGUAGGCUUAACACAUGCAAGUCGGACGGUAGCAGGAAAUAAGUUUACUUAUUUUGCUGACGAGUGGCGGACGGGUGAGUAACGCGUGGGAAUCUACCCUAUAGUUGGGGACAAUGUAUGGAAACGUACGCUAAUACCGAAUACGCUCUACGGAGUAAAGGAGCCCUCUUCAUGAAAGGUUUCGCUAUAGGAUGAGCCCGCGUAAGAUUAGCUAGUUGGUGAGGUAAUGGCUCACCAAGGCGACGAUCUUUAGCUGGUUUGAGAGGAUGAUCAGCCACACUGGGACUGAGACACGGCCCAGACUCCUACGGGAGGCAGCAGUGGGGAAUAUUGGACAAUGGACGAAAGUCUGAUCCAGCCAUACCGCGUGUGUGAAGAAGGCCUUCGGGUUGUAAAGCACUUUCAGUUGGGAGGAAGAUUAAGUAGUUAAUACCUGCUUAGUUUGACGUUACCUUCAGAAGAAGCACCGGCUAACUCUGU
rnacentral:rRNA from 1 species